GUGCUCGAGUGGCGAACGGGUGAGUAACACGUGGGUGAUCUGCCUUGUACUCUGGGAUAAGCUUGGGAAACUGGGUCUAAUACCGGAUAGGAACUGCCUUUAGUGUGGUGGUUGGAAAGUUUUUUCGGUGCAAGAUGAGCUCGCGGCCUAUCAGCUUGUUGGUGGGGUAAUGGCCUACCAAGGCGUCGACGGGUAGCCGGCCUGAGAGGGUGUACGGCCACAUUGGGACUGAGAUACGGCCCAGACUCCUACGGGAGGCAGCAGUGGGGAAUAUUGCACAAUGGGCGGAAGCCUGAUGCAGCGACGCCGCGUGGGGGAUGACGGCCUUCGGGUUGUAAACUCCUUUCGACAGGGACGAAGCGCAAGUGACGGUACCUGUAUAAGAAGCACCGGCUAACUACGUGCCAGCAGCCGCGGUAAUACGUAGGGUGCGAGCGUUGUCCGGAAUUACUGGGCGUAAAGAGCUCGUAAGUGGUUUGUCGCGUCGUCUGUGAAAUUCCGGGGCUUAACUCCGGGCGUGCAGGCGAUACGGGCAUAACUUGAGUGCUGUAGGGGAGACUGGAAUUCCUGGUGUAGCGGUGAAAUGCGCAGAUAUCAGGAGGAACACCGAUGGCGAAGGCAGGUCUCUGGGCAGUUACUGACGCUGAGGAGCGAAAGCAUGGGUAGCGAACAGGAUUAGAUACCCUGGUAGUCCAUGCCGUAAACGGUGGGCGCUAGGUGUAGGGGGCUUCCACGUCUUCUGUGCCGUAGCUAACGCAUUAAGCGCCCCGCCUGGG
rnacentral:rRNA from 1 species